AGUGAGUUUUGGAGGCACAAACAAAACUCUGUGUCUUUAUCAUGUUAGCCCAUGGUUUGAACUUACAGAAGUAUUUUUACUGGGGUUCUGUCUUCUCCUGUCCCCUGCCGUACCAAGACACCUAUCUCUGUGUCUAAAGGAUCCAUGGACGGAUGCUCUCCUCAGACUUGACCCUUUUCCAGUUUGGAGGGCCUGUUGGUGAGAUGCAGGAGAGACUGGCUUGGAUGGACAAGUCUACCCUGAGUUUUGUAAUGUGGAUUGCAACGUGACUGAGGAUGAGGAAGGCUCGAGUGUAAUGAUCCCUGGCAUGCCACCCUGAUCCCUGAUGAGCAAGCUCUCCCUUCUCAUCACUACAGGCGGUCUCAAGUUUACACAGUUACGAGUCACAGGUUUGCGAUAACCUUGACUGAAAAAAGCACGUAUGGGCUUUGAACUGAGAGUCACAAAUUCUGGUUCUUGGCUUGGCUCUCAACGCCCUUUGCUGUGAUGUUGUUGUUGAAGCUCACAUAAAGUCAGGACCUUUAUGCCUGUUCUAGAUCCACCUGCUGGGACUCAAGGAACACGGAAAAUCAAGGACAUGAGUGAAGGGACAAACGAUCGGACAGUCAUCGGUUACCUCGCUGAAGAUGACUCGCAGUGCAGAAGCUGAGGGCGACUUGCUCCGCUGCUGCAGAUUGUCACCUUCCUGCUGUGGUCCAGGGGAAGGAAGUGCAGCUCCGUCAAGCUGAUCCUCUCAAGGUGCCUGCGGUCUGCGGAGCUCUGAGACCUGCAUGUGUGAAGACUUCCACUUCUCUCAGUGAGUCACACCUAUUGCAACACCAAGUGGUGACUAAGUCUCUCCUCCGUGGAUGGAGGGCGGGGAGAUUGUAGGUCACAGGUUUCCAAAGGAAUCGUCAGUGCUUUUUAUAAAUUAAGUGUGGCUAGCUAGAGAAAACUACUCAUGCUAUCUUGACCAAAGGAGGAGGCUGAAAUCAAGUAACUAAGAAGCUUUUUUAAAAAAAAAUUAUUUUGUAUCUUUUGUAAAUCUCCUGGUGCAAGGAACUGAUCAUUUCACUGAAAAACAAACAAACAAACAAACAAACAAACAAACAAUUUUUAUGAGCAAGAAGAUCAACAUAAUAAAUGACCAAAUAUGGUUUGGGAA
rnacentral:lncRNA from 1 species